rnacentral:tRNA from 1 species
GAAUCAUUAGCUCAGCUGGCAGAGCACCUGACUUUUAAUCAGGGUGUCCGGGGUUCGAAUCCCCGAUGGUUCA